GUCUGGCCACCUAAAAAUAGGAGACGGGGGCUCUCUGGGGAGGACGGCUUGAGCACGGUUUUCCAUUAUUUAUAUAAUUAUAAAUAGUGACCAGUUACUGGAACUUACAAGGGACAAAUGGAAGCUUGUCCCUGAAAGGGCUUCCAAGCCCGCAUUGUUGUCCAAGAAACAAAACUUAUCAGAGAAGCAGAUAGAGGUGGCAGGGGCCCAAAAUCUAUUUUAACUUCAUCAUUCCUUUAUAGGGAGCACAGGGACAGGCUUGGCAGAGGGACAGAAGCCCUCCAAGGAGACAGUGUAGUCUCUUCUCAGACUGAAAUGCAGGGGCCCUGGGAAGGGGCGCCAGGUACUGAAAGUUUUACUUGGUCCCUGCCUGGGAUGUGGGCAAGAAGCAUCUUACGCCAUCAGACAGGAGGGUGUGGGGUAGGCUGCAGAGAGAGGUCCCCAGAGAGGCCACACCUAGUGCCUGGGACCUGUGACUACGUUAGGUUCCCGAGCAAGAGGGAAAUAAGGUCUCGAUGGAAUCAGGAUUGCUGAUCAGCGGGGGAAGAGGACCUCGGAUUACCGAGGUGAGCCCGAUGACUCAAAAGGGUCCUGGCACAUGAAAGAGGGAGGAAGAGAGUCAGAGUGGUGCACACACCUUUAAUCCCAGCUACUCAGGAGGCUGGAGCAAGAGGAUCCCAAAUUUAAGGCCAGCCUCAGCAACUUAGAGAGACCCUGUACCAAAAAAAAAAAAGUGAAAGAAAAUAUCUGUAGCAUGUGAGAAUCUCAACUGACCAGCCAUCUGUGGCUUUGAAGAUGGAGGCAGGGGACAGGAAUCCAGGAAGGCUGGGAGCCUCCAAAUUCUGGAAGAUGCAAGAAAACAUCCCCCUUCCAGAAGCCUCUAGAAGGAACCUAGCCCUGCUGACACCCUGAUUUUAGUUCACUGAAAUCCAUUUCAGAUUUCUGAUCCCUGAACCGUAAGAUGAUAAACUUGUAUUGUUUGGAGCCACUACGUGGUGUGAUUUGUUACAGCAGCAACAGAAAACUCAUGCAGACCAGGUCUCUCUUCUGGGAGGGGCGGUUCUUGGUGUGCUUGCAGAGCACCUGCAAUUGAACUGUCAACUCCU
rnacentral:lncRNA from 1 species